AUUGAACGCUGGCGGCAGGCCUAACACAUGCAAGUCGAACGAGUGGCGGACGGGUGGGUAAUGUCUGGGAAACUGCCUGAUGGAGGGGGAUAACUACUGGAAACGGUAGCUAAUAACGCAUACCAUCAGAUGUGCCCAGAGGGGAUUAGCUAGUUGGUGGGGUAAAGGCUCACCAAGGCGACGAGCCCUAGCGGGUCGGAGAGGUUGACCAGCCACACUGGAACUGAGACACGGUCCAGACUCCUACGGGAGGCAGCAGUGGGGAAUAUUGCACAAUGGACGCAAGCCUGAUGCAGCCAUGCCGCGUGUAUGAAGAAGGCCUUCGGGUUGUAAAGUACUUUCAGCGGGGAGGCGUUACCCGCAGAGGAAGCACCGGCUAACUCCGUGCCAGCAGCCGCGGUAAUAC
rnacentral:rRNA from 1 species